rnacentral:lncRNA from 1 species
UCAGCUUCCCAAUUCCCAGGUGACCCACUUCAAUUUCAGUUCCAUUCCACCCUGUUCUCCCAACUCAUCACAAAAUCACAUAAACUAGUUAAAACCGAUGUUGCCAGUGAAGAUCUCGCAAUCCAAAAGCCAAAACCAUAUAUCCAGAAUGAAAUUCACAACAAUUUCACAAACUAUAGAAUAUGAUCACUACCCAUCAAGAAUAAAUCAUAAAUUCCAAUUCAUGAAACACACCCAGAAAAAAAUGCCCUUUGAAAGGAAGAAUUUAAUUUUUACAUAAAAGGAAAGUACAGUUUUUUUUUUCAAAAGACCAUGAAGAUAAUAAAAGCUAAAACGUACCUAUGGUCCCAUGAUGAUGGCAGAGGAACAGAUGUACAGAGAGUCCAAUAUAAUCUGGAAGGAGACAGCUCUAGAAUCCAAAGCCGAGAGCAUAUCCUUGUACUGGGUGGAAAUUUCCUUGACGUUAUAACUUCUUCCAAAAAG